UUCUCUACAUUUAUAUCUCCCUGGCUCAAGACCCGAUUGAAAAAAAAAAAAGUACAUAAGUCAUUAGCGUUCGGAUAACACUGUAUGUCCUAUAACCAUGUAUGUGUAACAGAUUACAGAGAUAAUCAGGGUAAUCCGUUCAUCACGAACCGGCGAUUUCUACGGAAGAUUUCGAUUUCUGUGUUUUCCAUCGUCGUGAAACUGUACAAGUAUUAUUAUAACGUUGGUUUCAAUUUCAUAUCACUCCUUACAGGUACAUCGAACGAAUGUAUACACUUUUGAUUUUCAAAUGACAGCUGUAUAGCGAACGUCGCACAUAGCGUUGUUUAAACACUGUAGAGAAUAUUUUGCCAACACGCUCGAUACGCUGUUAAUGGUUUUUAUAUUAUGCUAUUAGAAAAUCCAAAAUGUAUUUAACUCAUUUAAGGUAUAAGCGGUAGGCAUAUGGGUUAAAAUAUGAUGAAAUAGAGUGUGAACAAAACGUAGACGGUUCAAUAAGAAUUGCGAAAUCGGAAUUCAAAUUUACUUACAAACCUCGGGGAGAAGAAAAAAAAAGUCGCUAGUUCGUGAUAAAUGGAUCGCCCAGUUCUCGUCUGUUUGUCGCCGGGCUCAAACGGUUUCUGGCGAACGUAUACGCGUGCUGCGGAUACGUAAAUAAUUUUAGUUCAAUAUAUUAUAUUUGUUAUCAAAGGGAACGUAACAGCUUUUAUCGGUGUAUAUAAAUAAAUAAAUGUAUAUGUGUAUGAUAUGUAUAAUAUGAUAUGGACGCGGAUAAAUACUAAAUUUGAUGGUAACACUGUGAAACUCCGCGCAACGCUGGGGAGGAGG